AUACAGAGGGUGCGAGCGUUAAUCGGAAUUACUGGGCGUAAAGCGCGCGUAGGCGGCUUAUUAAGUCAGAUGUGAAAUCCCCGGGCUCAACCUGGGAACUGCAUCUGAUACUGGUAAGCUAGAGUUUUGGAGAGGGAAGUAGAAUUUCAGGUGUAGCGGUGAAAUGCAUAGAGAUCUGAAGGAAUACCAGUGGCGAAGGCGACUUCCUGGCCAAAAACUGACGCUGAGGUGCGAAAGCGUGGGUAGCAGACGGGAUUAGAAACCCCAGUAGUCC
rnacentral:rRNA from 1 species